AGUCACUGACAUUACGAUACCCGGGUAGUCCCAGCCCUAAACGAUGCGCGUUAGGUGUAUCGGUGACCACGAGUCACCGAGGUGCCGAAGGAAACCGUGAAACGUGCCGCCUGGGAAGUACGGUCGCAAGGCUGAAACUUAAAGGAAUUGGCGGGGAGCACCACAACGGGUGGAGCCUGCGGUUUAAUUGGACUCAACGCCGGGAAGCUCACCGGAUAAGACAGCGGAAUGAUUGCCGGGCUGAAGACCCUGCAUGACCAGCUG
rnacentral:rRNA from 1 species